CCUACGGGAGGCAGCAGUGGGGAAUAUUGUGCAAUGGGCGAAAGCCUGACGCAGCGACGCCGCGUGAGGGAUGAAGGUCUUCGGAUCGUAAACCUCUGUCAGCAGGGAAGAACGGUCACUGUGCUAAUCAGCAGUGAAUUGACGGUACCUGCAAAGGAAGCACCGGCUAACUCCGUGCCAGCAGCCGCGGUAAUACGGAGGGUGCGAGCGUUAAUCGGAAUUACUGGGCGUAAAGCGCUCGUAGGCGGUAUGUCAAGUCAAGGGUGAAAUCCCCGCGCUCAACGUGGGAACUGCCUUUGAAACGGGGAGACUGGAGUGUGUGAGAGGAUAGUGGAAUGCCAGGUGUAGGAGUGAAAUCCGUAGAUAUCUGGAGGAACAUCAGUGGCGAAGGCGACUAUCUGGCACAUAACUGACGCUGAGGAGCGAAAGCGUGGGUAGCGAACAGGAUUAGAUACCCCUGUAGUC
rnacentral:rRNA from 1 species